GAUGAACGCUGGCGGCGUGCUUAACACAUGCAAGUCGAACGUGAGAGGUAGCAAUAUCUUGAAAGUGGCGAACGGGUGAGUAACACGUAGGUAACCUGCCUCGGAGUGGGGAUAACAGUUAGAAAUGACUGCUAAUACCGCAUGAAUCCAUGGAUUAGGGAUAAUCGAUGGAGAAAACUCUGGUGCUUCGAGAGGGGCCUGCGGCCGAUUAGCUAGUUGGUGGGGUAAAAGGCCUACCAAGGCGACGAUCGGUAGCUGGUCUGAGAGGACGAUCAGCCACACGGGAACUGAGACACGGUCCCGACUCCUACGGGGGGCGAGCAGUGAGGAAUAUUGGGCAAUGGGCGGAAGCCUGACCCAGCAACGCCGCGUGGAGG
rnacentral:rRNA from 1 species